rnacentral:rRNA from 1 species
UACGAAGGGGGCUAGCGUUGCUCGGAAUGACUGGGCGUAAAGGGCGCGUAGGCGGUGUACACAGUCAGGCGUGAAAUUCCCGGGCUCAACCUGGGGGCUGCGCUUGAUACAUGUACGCUUGAGUUCGGAAGAGGGUCGUGGAAUUCCCAGUGUAGAGGUGAAAUUCGUAGAUAUUGGGGAAGAACACCGGUGGCGAAGGCGGCGACCUGGUCCGAUACUG